UGGGUUUCUACACUUUGUUCUUUUUAAUUUCACAAUCAAUUCAGAAAAAUAAAAGUGGGAAAAAUAAACGCAUUUUCACACACUUCAACGGAAUAAUGGCGUGGCGAGUCAGAAAACUUUGCUAAGACAAUUAGAAGCUCAAGGUCAGGAUCGUGGGUAAAUUUCAGGUGAAGUUCGGCUUAGCAUAGAGCAUAAAAUCAUAAAAUUUUACUUACUGAAUCUCUUUAUAUCAGUUUAUUUGCUCAGGAUGACAACAACAUUGGUGCGCCAAUUGUAUUAGAGUUUCUUGGAAAACGAAUUUAAAAUCACAGCUAUAGAUUCCGAAACACUUGGCAGAAUAGAGACACCGCGUUCCACCUGUGGGCUACGAGGCAACGGAGUAACACAAUUUUCAGGUGGAUCUUGAAGCGCACGCCAAGAGAUCUCGAGCGAAACUAAAUUGUUGAAUGGCAAUGGACGGCGGAAGCCGAUCGUACACCGCUCAAACCCCAGCGACCACCUUUCUGAGCGGGUUUCUAGUGGCUUGGCUUAUGUGUUUUUGAGUCUCGCUCAAAACCUGGCCCAAGACGGCUUUACGGUUGGUCGGUUCCAUUCGCGCUCAAACCGACUGUCGACUAAUGGGGAGACAUAUCGUGCUGGUCGGAUCCAAAAGCUGGACUUGAAAUACGAUCAUUCUAUAUGGAAUGAGUGGGACGACACAGAGAGCGAACCAAGUAGAAAAAAACAAGCUUGUAGGCAGACGUCCAUAAGUCAAUGUUAUGAUAGCACUGCCACAGCUACUUGAGAGCAAAACAUACCCAAAAAUCUAGCAAAACUUUCAAACCGCAUUGUUAGGUAUACAUAUAGAUAUAUGUACAUAUAAAUUGUAUUAUAUGAGAAAAGAAAGCUUCCUAUAAAAGUGCAAAUGGACUAAACUUGUAGACAAAUUUUUUAAUAAAAUCUAACAAACAGACA